rnacentral:rRNA from 1 species
CGAGGGGCAGCACAGGUAGCAAUACCGGGUGGCGACCGGCGCACGGGUGAGUAACGCGUAUGCAACUUACCUAUCAGAGGGGGAUAACCCGGCGAAAGUCGGACUAAUACCGCAUGAAGCAGGGGCCCCGCAUGGGGAUAUUUGCUAAAGAUUCAUCGCUGAUAGAUAGGCAUGCGUUCCAUUAGGCAGUCGGCGGGGUAACGGCCCACCAAACCGACGAUGGAUAGGGGUUCUGAGAGGAAGGUCCCCCACAUUGGUACUGAGACACGGACCAAACUCCUACGGGAGGCAGCAGUGAGGAAUAUUGGUCAAUGGGCGUAAGCCUGAACCAGCCAAGUCGCGUGAGGGAUGAAGGUUCUAUGGAUCGUAAACCUCUUUUAUAAGGGAAUAAAGUGCGGGACGUGUCCUGUUUUGUAUGUACCUUAUGGAUAAGGAUCGGCUAACUCCGUGCCAGCAGCCGCGGUAAUACGGAGGAUCCGAGCGUUAUCCGGAUUUAUUGGGUUUAAAGGGUGCGUAGGCGGCCUUUUAAGUCAGCGGUGAAAGUCUGUGGCUCAACCAUAGAAUUGCCGUUGAAACUGGGGGGCUUGAGUAUGUUUGAGGCAGGCGGAAUGCGUGGUGUAGCGGUGAAAUGCUUAGAUAUCACGCAGAACCCCGAUUGCGAAGGCAGCCUGCCAAGCCAUGACUGACGCUGAUGCACGAAAGCGUGGGGAUCAAACAGGAUUAGAUACCCUGGUAGUCCACGCAGUAAACGAUGAUCACUAGCUGUUUGCGAUACAGUGUAAGCGGCACAGCGAAAGCGU